UUGCGGGCGUGGACGAGGAAGCGCACACCUCCGGCGUCCGGGCCGACGGGGCUGGGCAGGUUCAGUGCCACCACCACCGUGCCGUUCGGCAGCUUGCAGA
rnacentral:tRNA from 1 species